rnacentral:rRNA from 1 species
CCUACGGGCGGCAGCAGUAGGGAAUCUUCCACAAUGGACGAAAGUCUGAUGGAGCAACGCCGCGUGAGUGAAGAAGGGUUUCGGCUCGUAAAGCACUGUUGGUAGUGAAGAAAGAUAGAGGUAGUAACUGGCCUGUAUUUGACGGUAAUUACUUAGGAAGUCACGGCUAACUACGUGCCAGCAGCCGCGGUAAUACGUAGGUGGCAAGCGUUGUCCGGAAUUAUUGGGCGUAAAGCGAGUGCAGGCGGUUCAAUAAGUCUGAUGUGAAAUCCUCCGGCGCAACCGGAGAAUUGCAUCAGAAACUGGUGAACUUGAGUGCAGAAGAGGAGGGUGGAACUCCAGGUGUAGCGGUGGAAUGCGUAGAUAUAUGGAAGAACACCAGUGGCGAAGGCGGCUCUCUGGUCUGCGACUGACGCUGAGGCUCGAAAGCAUGGGUAGCGAACAGGAUUAGAUACCCGAGUAGUC